GAUGAGGAGUUGCGGAGCCAGGGUCGAUGCCCAUUGACACCAGAAGAAAUUGGACUGUUACUGGCAGCCCUAGGAUUCGACCAAAAAACUCGCCUUUACCUUGCCUCCCACAAGGUCUACGGUGGGGAAGCCAGAAUCUCCAGUUUGCGCAAGCUAUUCCCUCUGAUGGAGGACAAGAAGAGCCUUGCUUCUGCAGGGGAACUUGACAGGGUCGAGGGAA
rnacentral:misc_RNA from 1 species